GAUGAACGCUAGCGGCAGGCUUAAUACAUGCAAGUCGAGGGGCAGCAUGACUGUAGCAAUACAGUUGAUGGCGACCGGCAAACGGGUGCGGAACACGUACAGAACCUUCCUUCGAGCGGGGAAUAGCCCAGAGAAAUUUGGAUUAAUACCCCAUAGUACAACGGAGUGGCAUCACUUUGUUGUUAAAGAUUUAUCACUUGAAGAUGGCUGUGCGGCUGAUUAGGUAGUUGGCGGGGUAACGGCCCACCAAGCCUGCGAUCAGUAACUGGUGUGAGAGCACGACCAGUCACACGGGCACUGAGACACCGGGCCCGACUCCUACGGGGAGGCAGCAGUAAAGGAAUAGUUGGUCAAUGGAACGAAAGUCUGAACCAGCCAUGCCGCGUGGAGGAUGAAGGUCCUCUGGAUUGUAAACUUCUUUUAUAUGGGACGAAAAAAGGGUUUUCUAACUCGUCUGACGGUACCAUAUGAAUAAGCACCGGCUAACUCCGUG
rnacentral:rRNA from 1 species